rnacentral:rRNA from 1 species
GACGAACGCUGGCGGCGUGCUUAACACAUGCAAGUCGAACGAAGAGCGAUGGAAGCUUGCUUCUCUCAAUCUUAGUGGCGAACGGGUGAGUCACGCGUAAUCAACCUGCCCUUCAGAGGGGGACAACAGUUGGAAACGACUGCUAAUACCGCAUACGAUCUAAUCUCGGCAUCGAGGAUAGAUGAAAGGUGGCCUCUACAUGUAAGCUAUCACUGAAGGAGGGGAUUGCGUCUGAUUAGCUAGUUGGAGGGGUAACGGCCCACCAAGGCGAUGAUCAGUAGCCGGUCUGAGAGGAUGAACGGCCACAUUUGGACUGAGACACGGCCCAGACUCCUACGGGAGGCAGCAGUGGGGAAUCUUCCGCAAUGGACGAAAGUCUGACGGAGCAACGCCGCGUGAGUGAUGACGGCCUUCGGGUUGUAAAGCUCUGUUAAUCGGGACGAAAGGCCUUCUUGCGAAUAGUGAGAAGGAUUGACGGUACCGGAAUAGAAAGCCACGGCUAACUACGUG